AGCUGUUGUAAAAGGAAAAAUUUAAUUUUUUCAAGUAAUUUUUUCAAGCCUAAUCUUCUGUUAUAUAGCAGUGUGACAGCCUGUCUUUGCAAUAUUUAUUCCCUCCUCUAUUCUGUUUGCAACGUUUUGUGGUGUUACAUAGCCUUGAGGGGUGCAGCGGAUGAGAUAAACUACCUGAAUCCCCUUCAGGAAUAAAAGAGCGCUACCCCAGCUCCUGGGAGUCCCGCAAGCAUAUAGCACUCAUGAGCCCCCCUUGAGGAGUUGCCACAGCUUAAGGGAGGCACUGCCCUUCCUUAAAACCAUGUUCCCUUCCCCCUCAACCAUAUCCAAGGACUAGCUGAUGCAGGCUUAGAAAGGUUUAGCCCUCCCUUGCCAACCCCAGAUAUCUCUCAAGGGCAUUGCAUCUUUAUCUUUCCCUACAAGAUUAUGUGAGUUUUCUCCUGGGUCUGCAUCCCAGCUCAGCUUCUCCCUUUGCCCAUCUUUCCUUCCUUCCAAUAGGUGUGGAUCCCAAUAGCACUCUUCAGUGCAGCCCUGGAAAGCAAAUAUGACUGAGCCCUCCACGUUCCACAGAGACAAGAAGCAGGAAAUUGUGUCAUGCUGAAGAACAAGGCCGGAUGGUGUUUUGCAGGUGCUUACCUAGCUGGAGGGAUGUAAAGGAUGAAGUAAAACCUGAGGGCCCACCUACAGGAAUUUCGCACCACUAUGGAGUGGAAAAAACUUGGCUGAGAAUUUUGAGAUGACAGAUAAGACAGGUAAGCUUCAGCGGGAUCAGAAGGCACUUGGGUGUCAGCCAGAAGGUCCAGUUUUUGGAAGGUAACUUCCCUUCCAGGGGUAUGUGGUGUAGAAACAAGUUGCAUCCAAAGUCAAGGGUGCUGCCCAAACAGUGGGUACCUCAGGAAAAUGCUCUGCCUCCUUCUUUACUCACUGGCUAGGUUAUCGAAAACCUCUCAAAUG
rnacentral:lncRNA from 1 species